AUUGAACGCUAGCGGGAUGCUUUACACAUGCAAGUCGAACGAGUGGCGGGCGGGUGAGUAAUAUAUCGGCACGUGCCCAGUAGCUGGGGAUAACUACUGGAAAGAGUGGCUAAUACCGCAUACUAUUGCAUCGGCCGAUAUCGGAUUAGCUAGUUGGUGGGGUAAAGGCUCACCAAGGCAACGAUCCGUAGCUGGUUUGAGAGGAUGACCAGCCACACUGGGACUGAGACACGGUCCAGACUCCUACGGGAGGCAGCAGUGGGGAAUUUUGGACAAUGGGGGAAAGCCUGAUCCAGCCAUCCCGCGUGUAUGAGAAGGCCUUCGGGUUGUAAAGUACUUUUGGCAGAGAAGCGGUAUCUGCAGAAUAAGCACCGGCUAACUACGUGCCAGCAGCCGCGGUAAUAC
rnacentral:rRNA from 1 species